GGCAUGUGUCAUGAUUGCCCUUAGCAAAGCAAUGAUCUACCAGAAUCCAAAAUGAAGUGGAUGUAAGCAACUAUAGUGUCCAAUGGAAUAUUGCAAAGAGCUAGUUAUAAAGCAGAGUUCAAGGACUUAAAUAUAUUCACUACUGAUUGCAUGAAUCCAACGAAGGAACCCAAAAACAUAUUUAAAUCUUUAAAAAAGAUUAUUAACAUUGCUAUGAUGCAUAAGGUUUUUACAGGAAUUUGCAGGCUACAUAUAAAACACUUAGAACCAU
rnacentral:lncRNA from 1 species